rnacentral:rRNA from 1 species
GACAUAGGUGGCAAACGUUAUCCGGAAUUACUGGGCGUAAAGGGCGCGUAGGCGGCCUGUUAAGUCGAACGUGAAAUCCCCGGGCUCAACCCGGGAACUGCGUCCGAUACUGGCAGGCUUGAAUCCGGGAGAGGGAUGCGGAAUUCCAGGUGUAGCGGUGAAAUGCGUAGAUAUCUGGAGGAACACCGGUGGCGAAGGCGGCAUCCUGGACCGGCAUUGACGCUGAGGCGCGAAAGCCAGGGGAGCAAACGGG